GGGGGUGGGGUGGCUAUUGAUGCAAGUCGUCGGGCAGGACAGGAGAGGUUGCUCUGUGGGUGGCGAGUGGCGGACGGGUGAGGAAGACAGCGGAAUCUAGUCUGUCGGGGGGAGGCGUAGGGAAACUUCGGCUAAUACCGCAUACGACCUACGGGUGAAAGCUCGGGACGUUCGGGCCUUGCGUAUUGAAUGAACCGAUGUCGGAUUGCCCUGCUGGCGGGGUAAGGGGCCACCGGGCGAGGUCCGGGCGUGGGGCGAUGGGAUGAUCAGGCGUGAUCUUGAGAGGACGGUCCACACUCCUACGGGAGGCAGCAGUGGGGAAUAUUGGACAAUGGGCGCAAGCCUGAUCCAGCCAUACCGCGUGGGUGAAGAAGGCCUUCGGGUUGUAAAGCCCUUUUGUUGGGAAAGAAAUCCAGCCGGCUAAUACCUGGUUGGGAUGACGGUACCCAAAGAAUAAGCACCGGCUAACUUCGUGCCAGCAGCCGCGGUAAUACGAAGGGUGCAAGCGUUACUCGGAAUUACUGGGCGUAAAGCGUGCGUAGGUGGUCGUUUAAGUCCGUUGUGAAAGCCCUGGGCUCAACCUGGGAACUGCAGUGGAUACUGGGCGACUAGAAUGUGGUAGAGGGUAGCGGAAUUCCUGGUGUAGCAGUGAAAUGCGUAGAGAUCAGGAGGAACAUCCAUGGCGAAGGCAGCUACCUGGACCAACAUUGACACUGAGGCACGAAAGCGUGGGGAGCAAACAGGAUUAGAUACCCUGGUAGUCCACGCCCUAAACGAUGCGAACUGGAUGUUGGGUGCAAUUUGGCACGCAGUAUCGAAGCUAACGCGUUAAGUUCGCCGCCUGGGGAGUACGGUCGCAAGACUGAAACUCAAAGGAAUUGACGGGGGCCCGCACAAGCGGUGGAGUAUGUGGUUUAAUUCGAUGCAACGCGAAGAACCUUACCUGGCCUUGACAUGUCGAGAACUUUCCAGAGAUGGAUGGGUGCCUUCGGGAACUCGAACACAGGUGCUGCAUGGCUGUCGUCAGCUCGUGUCGUGAGAUGUUGGGUUAAGUCCCGCAACGAGCGCAACCCUUGUCCUUAGUUGCCAGCACGUAAUGGUGGGAACUCUAAGGAGACCGCCGGUGACAAACCGGAGGAAGGUGGGGAUGACGUCAAGUCAUCAUGAGCGUUAGGGCAGGCUCACACCGGUGUUACAAUGGUAGGGACAGAGGGAGCCAAGCCGGCGACGGUAAGCCAAUCCCAGAAACCCUAUCUCAGUCCGGAUUGGAGUCUGCAACUCGACUCCAUGAAGUAGGAAUCCCGGUAAUCGCAGAUCAGCAUUGUUGCGGUGAAUACGUUCCCGUCCCCACGCACACCGCCCGUCACACCACGGGAUUCUCUUGCACCAGAAGCAGGUAGCUCCCCUUCGGGACGGCCCGUGCCAGCGGUGCGUCCGAUGAGCUGGCGCUAAGUCGAGCACACGCCCAUA
rnacentral:rRNA from 1 species